rnacentral:rRNA from 1 species
UACGUAGGGGGCUAGCGUUGUCCGGAUUUAUUGGGCGUAAAGAGCGUGUAGGCGGCCAAGUAGGUCCGGUGUGAAAACUCGAGGCUUAACCUCGAGAUGUCAUCGGAAACCAUUUGGCUAGAGUCCGGAAGAGGAAAGUGGAAUUCCUGGUGUAGUGGUGAAAUGCGUAGAGAUCCGGAGGAACACCAGUGGCGAAGGCGGCUGGCUGGACCUGACCUGACGCUGAGGCGCGAAGGCGUGGGGAGCGAACGGG